rnacentral:rRNA from 1 species
UACGUAGGGGGCAAGCGUUGUCCGGAAUUAUUGGGCGUAAAGCGCGCGCAGGCGGCUAUUUAAGUCUGGUGUUUAAACCUUGGGCUCAACCUGAGGUCGCACUGGAAACUGGGUGGCUUGAGUACAGAAGAGGAAAGUGGAAUUCCACGUGUAGCGGUGAAAUGCGUAGAUAUGUGGAGGAACACCAGUGGCGAAGGCGACUUUCUGGGCUGUAACUGACGCUGAGGCGCGAAAGCGUGGGGAUCAAACAGG